GUCCGCAUACACAUUCACGCCCGGGGGCGCGGCCGCCACGUGGGGAGUGGCGCGGGGGUGGUACUGGGACCGCACCCCCCUCUCGUCCUGGCUGCGUGGGCCCCGCUUUCCCCCUGCGCUGAAGACUCUGAGCCCGGCCGGUCCCACCUUCCACGCGAGCUGAAUUCCCUCCCGCAUUCCACCGGGGCGGUGGGAACUGCGGGCUCCGGGAGGCGCUCGGGCUCCGAGCAGCGACUCAGCCCCUCACUCUUCCCUCCGCAGUGCCGCGGCCGCCCAGCCAGGAUUCCCGCGGGUCUCAGCGGCCGCGAGCGCGAGGCGGCGCGGAUUCCCGGCGCGGUACCGGCGCUGCUGCUCACCUCUCUCGCGUCGCCUCCCGCGGCUUCCACCUUGCACCUGGCGUUCCUCUGCGCGCCUGCUGGGCCCAUCUCUGGUUUCCCUUUUCUGCUUCUAGACCCCGCGUCACAACUGCGCAGACCUCUGCGGUCAGGAAAGCGCGUCGGGCGCGGGCAGAGUUGGAUCCGCUCGGGCUUCACGCUUUCACGCUUCGCGCGGGCAUCUCUUCCUCCUCCCGGGCACCGAGGCCAGAGCAGUGUUUCGAGCUAGAGGAUACUAAAGGAGGAAGAGGAGAAGAGGAGGAAGAUGAAGAGACCCUGGCUGGUCCUGAGGGAGUGGACACCCUGCCUGGCCUCCCUGCUGCCCUCCUGAAGCAAGGGUGGAAGGCGGCCCCACCCUCUGCUGGAACACCUGCAGCUGGGCUUCCAUGCCCUCUGCCCCAUGACUCCUCCACCUGGCUUGUCUAAUGAGAGUGCCUUCCACCAUCGCUGGACCUUUUCUGGGAUUUGGCCUAAGGUGCUCUUCCUCCCAUCUGCAUCUCUGGCUGGGCAAUACCAACCUGGACAUGGUUCUGCUCCUGUGCUGACUGUUGGUUGGGCCCAACUGGGAAGUUCUCUACCAUCUGGUGGAGUUUAGGUCACUUAUGUGGCUGCACUCAUCUGGGAGCUACCUGCAGCUGAAACACUCGAGAUGGCCGCUCGUCCUCCAGAGCUUCUACCCACCUGGGCUCUAACCAUUCAGUCAUCUGGCUUUGGCUUCCUCAUGCUAUGGCAGUUGGGCUCCAAGAAGAGAGAAGUGGAACUGGCCAUUCCCUUUAAGGCUUGGACUUCACUUCUGUCACACACUGUUGGUCAAAGCAAGUCACAGGCCUAAUGAUUCAAGGGGAGGGGAACUAGGCUGCACCUGUUUCUAGGGACAAAAGGAAGAGGUUGAUGACCAUUGGACACUAUCUAUCUCCCACAGCAUGUGGCAGUAAUUAUACAGGGAGCUCCUGGAGGGCAAGGAUCCAGCUAUAUAUCCACUCUUCCCAAGCCCACACGGUCAGAGAUUUCAGGAUACAGUGUGAACUCCAGCUUCAAUAUUCCUCAUACUGGAAUGUUGGUCUGGGAGAGGGUCGAGAGGUGGUGGAGUCAAGCCCAGGCUGUCGGCUGCCUCUGUUGGGACUCUUUAAUUUCAAGAUAGUGCAUCUAAAUGCUGUCUGGAAGUCUUUUUCUGGGCAUAGGUUAUGCCCCCUGCGGCAUGAUGGGCACAUUUCAUUCAGCCACAUGGUUACACAGAGCCCUGGAUCCAAACACAGACUUAAUAAUUAAAGCCUGUCUCUUCUCUCUCUUGUCAUUGUACAUUUAGAGCAUGUGGAAGUCAUUAGUGUUGUUUGUCAAAUAUUUCUGGCUGUGCACCUGCUGAACACAUGGCAGGAUUGCACUUCUUGGCCCUCUUGUGGUUGGGUGCAGCCUUGUGAUGAUUUCUGGCCAAUGAGUUGUGAAUGGAAGUGCCUUGUGCCUUGUAUGGACAUUUAAUGGCUUUGUGAAGCCUCCAGAGCUCUCUUUCCCUCUGCUUUUGUGCUGGCAAUGUUAGAGAUGGUAUCUGCUCCACUGGGCCAAUGAAGACAUGAGAAGCAGAGCCUCAUUCAACCCAUGAUGUGCAAAUGGCAACACCAGUCUGAGACCAUCCUAUCCAGAUUUAUCUUUCAAAAAACCCUAUCCAACAAAGGUGAAUUCAAAUGAAAGAGAAAAAUAUUCCUUUUCCAUGGGUUUCCCACUCUCCAAC
rnacentral:lncRNA from 1 species